rnacentral:rRNA from 1 species
UACAGAGGUCUCAAGCGUUGUUCGGAAUCACUGGGCGUAAAGGGUGCGUAGGCGGCGAGGAAAGUCAGAUGUGAAAUCCGAGGGCUCAACCCUCGAAUAGCAUCCGAUACUUCCCCGCUCGAGAUUUGUAGAGGAGUCUGGAACUCUCGGUGUAGCAGUGAAAUGCGUGGAUAUCGAGAAGAACGCUCGUAGCGAAGGCGAGGCUCUGGGCAAAUUCUGACGCUGAGGCACGAAGGCUAGGGGAGCAAACGGG